AAACCAACAGGGAUUACCUCAGUAACGGCGAGUGAAGCGGUAACAGCUCAAAUUUGAAAUCUGGGUCUUUCAGGCUCCGAGUUGUAAUUUGUAGAAGAUGCUUCGGGUGCGGCUCCGGUCUAAGUUCCUUGGAACAGGACGUCAUAGAGGGUGAGAAUCCCGUAUGUGAUCGGUUGCUUGCGCCCAUGUGAAGCUCUUUCGACGAGUCGAGUUGUUUGGGAAUGCAGCUCAAAAUGGGUGGUAAAUUUCAUCUAAAGCUAAAUAUUGGCCAGAGACCGAUAGCGCACAAGUAGAGUGAUCGAAAGAUGAAAAGCACUUUGGAAAGAGAGUUAAACAGUACGUGAAAUUGUUGAAAGGGAAGCGCUUGCAACCAGACUUGCGCGUUGCCGAUCAUCCGGGGCUCUCCCCGGUGCACUCGGCCUCGCUCAGGCCAGCAUCGGUUUUGGUGGUGGGAUAAAGGCCUUGGGAAUGUAGCUCCUUUCGGGGAGUGUUAUGGCCCUCGGUGCAAUGCCGCCUACCGGGACCGAGGACCGCGCUUCGGCUAGGAUGCUGGCGUAAUGGUUGUAAGCGAC
rnacentral:rRNA from 1 species